UACGGAGGGUGCAAGCGUUGUUCGGAAUUACUGGGCGUAAAGCGCGUGUAGGUGGCUUGUUAUGUCAGGUGUGAAAGCCCUCGGCCUAACCGAGGAAGUGCGCCUGAAACUGCCAAGCUUGAGUACGAGAGAGGAGGACGGAAUUCCCAGUGUAGAGGUGAAAUUCGUAGAUAUUGGGAGGAACACCAGUGGCGAAGGCGGCCACCUGGCCCGGUACUGACGCUCAAGUGCGAAAGCGUGGGGAGCAAACAGG
rnacentral:rRNA from 1 species